UUUAUCAAAGAAAUUUUUUACUCUCCUCAUUUCUUGCCUUUGCUUAAGUACUUUCUUCUUUGAGAAGUUGCUCUUAUUUGCUUCGGUCAACCUUCCAUCUCAGUUAAUGCUUCAAGUCUUUCAAACUUUUCAAGGUUUGAAGAGAGACAAGGAUUUUCCAUUGGAUCGUAUUUUUUGAAAAAGAAAAAGGGCUCUUGAGAGGUGGUACUGUCGUCCUUUCACAACUAACUAUUUCAACAUUUUAGGUUAAGAAAUAACUUUCCUUGAAUUUUAUUUGUGCGUGAGGAAAUAGAUAAACAAUAAAAUAUUAACACUUCUAAUGGAAUAUUUAGAAGGUGUACUAAA